rnacentral:rRNA from 1 species
AGGAAUCUGCCUAUUAGUGGGGGACAACAUCUCGAAAGGGAUGCUAAUACCGCAUACGUCCUACGGGAGAAAGCAGGGGACCUUCGGGCCUUGCGCUAAUAGAUGAGCCUAAGUCGGAUUAGCUAGUUGGUGGGGUAAAGGCCUACCAAGGCGACGAUCUGUAGCGGGUCUGAGAGGAUGAUCCGCCACACUGGGACUGAGACACGGCCCAGACUCCUACGGGAGGCAGCAGUGGGGAAUAUUGGACAAUGGGGGGAACCCUGAUCCAGCCAUGCCGCGUGUGUGAAGAAGGUCUUUUGGUUGUAAAGCACUUUAAGCGAGGAGGAGGCUACCGAGAUUAAUACUCUUGGAUAGUGGACGUUACUCGCAGAAUAAGCACCGGCUAACUCUGUGCCAGCAGCCGCGGUAAUACAGAGGGUGCAAGCGUUAAUCGGAUUUACUGGGCGUAAAGCGCGCGUAGGUGGCCAAUUAAGUCAAAUGUGAAAUCCCCGAGCUUAACUUGGGAAUUGCAUUCGAUACUGGUUGGCUAGAGUAUGGGAGAGGAUGGUAGAAUUCCAGGU